rnacentral:rRNA from 1 species
AAACUUCACAAUGGAGGCAACUCCGAUGAGGGAAUUCCAAGUGCUAGCACAUUAGUGUUAGCUUUUCUUAAGCAUAGAUAACUUAAGGAAUAAGGGCUGGGUAAGACGGGUGCCAGCCGCCGCGGUAAUACCCGCAGCCCAAGUGGUGGUCGAUUUUAUUGAGUCUAAAACGUUCGUAGCCGGUUUGGUAAAUCCUUGGGUAAAUCGGGAGGCUCAACUUUCCGAAUUCCGAGGAGACUGCCAAACUUGGGACCGGGAGAGGCGAGAGGUACUUCUGGGGUAGGGGUAAAAUCCUGUAAUCCUAGAAGGACCACCGGUGGCGAAGGCGUCUCGCUAGAACGGAUCCGACGGUGAGGGACGAAGCCCUGGGUCGCAAACGGGAUUAGAUACCCCGGUAGUCCAGGGUGUAAACGCUGCAGACUUGGUGUUGGGGACCCUACGUGGGUGUUCAGUGCCGGAGAGAAGUUGUUAAGUCUGCUACUUGGGGAGUACGUCCGCAAGGAUGAAACUUAAAGGAAGU